AGUGAACGCUGGCGGCAGGCCUAAUACAUGCAAGUCGAACGGCAGCACAGCAGAGCUUGCUCUGUGGGUGGCGAGUGGCGGACGGGUGAGGAAUACAUGGGAAUCUGCCCAGUCGUGGGGGAUAACGUAUGGAAACGUACGCUAAUACCGCAUGCGCCCUACGGGGGAAAGUCGGGGACCGCAAGGCCUGACGCGAUUGGAUGAGCCCAUGUUCGAUUAGCUAGUUGGCGGGGUAAAGGCCCACCAAGGCGACGAUCGAUAGCUGGUCUGAGAGGAUGAUCAGCCACACUGGAACUGAGACACGGUCCAGACUCCUACGGGAGGCAGCAGUAGGGAAUAUUGGACAAUGGGGCAACCCUGAUCCAGCCAUGCCGCGUGAGUGAAGAAGGC
rnacentral:rRNA from 1 species